UACGUAGGGGGCAAGCGUUGUCCGGAAUCAUUGGGCGUAAAGCGCGUGUAGGCGGUUUGGUAAGUCUGCUGUGAAAGUCCAGGGCUCAACCCUGGAAUGCCGGUGGAUACUGUCGAACUAGAGUCCGGAAGAGGCGAGUGGAAUUCCUGGUGUAGCGGUGAAAUGCGCAGAUAUCAGGAGGAACACCAAUGGCGAAGGCAGCUCGCUGGGACGGUACUGACGCUGAGACGCGAAAGCGUGGGGAGCAAACAGG
rnacentral:rRNA from 1 species